rnacentral:rRNA from 1 species
UAAUACGAACUGUGCGAACGUUAUUCGGAAUCACUGGGCUUACAGGGUGCGUAGGCGGCUUGUCAAGUAGGGUGUGAAAGCCCCCGGCUUAACCGGGGAAUUGCGCCCUAAACUGGCGAGCUGGAGUGAGAUAGGGGUGUGUGGAACUUCCGGUGGAGCGGUGAAAUGUGUUGAUAUCGGAAGGAACGCCGGUGGCGAAAGCGACACACUGGAUCUUGUCUGACGCUGAGGCACGAAAGCCAGGGGAGCGAACG